rnacentral:rRNA from 1 species
GAUGAACGCUGGCGGCGUGCCUAAUACAUGCAAGUCGAGCGAAUGGAUUAAGAGCUUGCUCUUAUGAAGUUAGCGGCGGACGGGUGAGUAACACGUGGGUAACCUGCCCAUAAGACUGGGAUAACUCCGGGAAACCGGGGCUAAUACCGGAUAACAUUUUGAACCGCAUGGUUCGAAAUUGAAAGGCGGCUUCGGCUGUCACUUAUGGAUGGACCCGCGUCGCAUCAGCUAGUUGGUGAGGUAACGGCUCACCAAGGCAACGAUACGUAGCCGACCUGAGAGGGUGAUCGGUCACACUGGGACUGAGACACGGCCCGGACUCCUACGGGAGGCAGCAGUAGGGAAUCUUCCGCAAUGGACGAAAGUCUGACGGAGCAACGCCGCGUGAGUGAUGAAGGCUUUCGGGUCGUAAAACUCUGUUGUUAGGGAAGAACAAGUGCUAGUUGAAUAAGCUGGCACCUUGACGGUACCUAACCAGAAAGCCACGGCUAACUACGUGCCAGCAGCCGCAGUAA